UGCUUUAAUAGACACUGAAAUCACAAAGGAAGGCCAAGUGCCUUAGCAAUCUCAAUAAAAAUAUGAAGUUCUUUUUACAUGGUAAAUUUCAUAAUAUAAAAAGUUUAAUGCCAUCUGGAAACUGUAAUUUACAAAAAAAAAGUUCACAUAGGCCAAAGAUGGCUAACACUGCAUACAAGGGGCAUGAGUGCCAAGUGGGGAAGGCGUCUGAGGAGGGGAGAUGUGACCACGUGUGUCCUUACAUGGAACAUCUUUGAAGGGUCUGGCACAGACAAGGGCCCAGUUCACAAAGCACAUGUACAAUUCUUUUAGGUAAAACAACAAAAUAUGUGAUGAAAAUUAUACAUUUGUCACAUUCUGCCUACUUAACUAAAUGCAAACCAGAUUAUUGUGUGGCAUUUUUUCCAGCCUGAACUGAAACUAAUGAAGUGACUGUUCUCCUUGUGGUGGGGGUGGUGGCAGGACAGGCACUGAGCUGGGGACUUGCCGAGGUGACCGCGCACCGGGAUUCACCGGGACAGACAAGCACAGUGAGGACAGCGUGUGCAGCAGCGCGUGGACCAGGGACUGUUUCAAGUGGAUGGAGAGCCGCCAGGAAUUCGUGACAUCCCGGGAGCCGCCACAGCUGGACGCUGAUGGAGACCUGAAUGGGGGCUGAUGUGAAGUCCUGUUCCUUCUCGCCGGCCUGCAGCUGGACCAGCACCUGGUGGAGCUGAGCGGGGAGAGCGUCAGCGUCCGCUGCAUCUGGGCCCCAGGGAUUUGUCCCCAAGUUUCUCUUGUGUCACCUGUCAUUAUCAUCGCUAAUGACCUUA